UACGGAGGGUGCGAGCGUUGUCCGGAAUCACUGGGCGUAAAGGGCGCGUAGGCGGCCUGAUAAGUAGGGGGUGAAAUCCUGCGGCUUAACCGCAGGGCUGCCUUCUAAACUGUCAGGCUAGAGCACAGCAGAGGCAGGUGGAAUUCCCGGUGUAGCGGUGGAAUGCGUAGAGAUCGGGAAGAACAUCAGUGGCGAAGGCGGCCUGCUGGGCUGUUGCUGACGCUGAGGCGCGACAGCGUGGGGAGCAAACAGG
rnacentral:rRNA from 1 species